CUGUUUCAAACUGUUUACUAAGUCGAUAAUUGAAAACGAAAUACUUUUUCCAGAAUAUCCUGAUAUUUUAUACCAUGUAGAUUAUAUGUUAACCUAUUAAAAAAUUGGUAUUAUAUAAAUGUUAUACCUACUCGGUAUGCAAUCAGUCGAGAAUGAUCCCAGUGACUUCGCUGAUCCAAGUAAGGUACCGCUGAACCCUGGUGAAGACUGAAGGUAGGUCAUUGUUGCAGCCACUCGCACUGAUGAAAGAUGCCACUCCGAUCUGAAAACGGUAGUAUAGCGGGGAUUGUCACGAACGUUGACAAGCAGAUGUCUUAAUUUCUCUCUCUUGCUCUUACUGUUUAACCAAAAAGUUAAAACAAAGACUUGGUCUUGUGAACGUUUUCACAUUUUGAACUGACUCCCAGGACCUUAAAGUUACAUUUCAUUAGGUAUUUUCGUCAGUUUAGUCAACCGCAUAUUAUAACUGUAUUAUAUAAGUACUAAUAUAAUGCAGUUUUAAUAUGCGAUUAGUACCUCUACGAUGACGGUGUAGCAAUGAAGCAUUUCCUACGCCGAGCUUGUAGCAAAUUUCUACGAGCUACGAGAUAGGCCAAUUUUAAAACACAAAUAAAUGCAACUUACCAAUAAUGUUUCUUCGGUAGAAUUGUAUAAAAUUGUUAGUGGUCCACCAUUAUCACCCUGGAACAAAAUGAAAAACCAUUAUGGAGAAAAUCAAAUUUUAUUCAACUCAUGUUUGACCUUUCCCAAUCAUUUAAAUUCCCUUCUUCAGCUCUUAAGUGAUAUUUUCUCCUUCUUUAUUAUUAUCUAUUCCAUACCUGCUAAAUGCCUAAGUAGGUACUUAUUAUUAAUUAAUAUCAUUCACUCCUUAUUCUUUACAUACCUUACAUGUACCACCAGAGGUGCUAAGCCCGCAUACUGUGGUGGCCGGGAGGAGGUUGAAGUAAGAAGAGUUGCAAAGAGGGUCAGUCAUCACUGUCAUCUGCUUCUCCCGAAGAGUAGGAGACACGAAGGACACAUCUGGGAAUAACCCACGUAACAUAAAAAGAAGUAAAGUAAAAGCCAUUGUGGUAGCAACAGUGUGCGGCCGUGAGCACCCACUCUUGGUGCACUAAGGCUCCGCCACAGAAACCCAGCUCUCCGGUAGUACCCACACGCAAAUAUAACGCUACCUAGGUAUGCAAAAUAAAUGGUGUACGAUGG